rnacentral:rRNA from 1 species
CCUACGGGAGGCAGCAGUGGGGAAUAUUGCACAAUGGGGGGAACCCUGAUGCAGCGACGCCGCGUGAGCGAUGAAGUAUUUCGGUAUGUAAAGCUCUAUCAGCAGGGAAGAAAAGGACUGUACCUGACUAAGAAGCUCCGGCUAACUACGUGCCAGCAGCCGCGGUAAUACGUAGGGUGCAAGCGUUAUCCGGAUUUACUGGGUGUAAAGGGAGCGUAGACGGCUGUGCAAGUCAGGAGUGAAAGGCAUGGGCUCAACCUGUGGACUGCUUUGGAAACUGUGCGGCUUGAGUAUCGGAGAGGCAAGUGGAAUUCGUAGUGUAGCGGUGAAAUGCGUAGAUAUUAGGAGGAACACCAGUGGCGAAGGCGGCUUGCUGGACGAUGACUGACGUUGAGGCUCGAAAGCGUGGGGAGCAAACAGGAUUAGAUACCCGAGUAGUC